ACUUGUUUUUCUUCCACCGCUGAGGCAAAUGCGGGGUGGCUGAUCACCUGGCAGACAUCUUAGGAAACAGGAGCACCGGUCUGGGAAACUGCUGGCCUGGCCUAACACCUGGCGCUGUGGUGCAGGCAAGAGGGCAGCCACUGAGGAUUCUUGAGGAGAGAGAGACCAUAGAAUGAAUGAAAGAGUUGGAAAGACUUUAAAGCUCUGGGAGGCUGAAUCCUUUAUUUCGCUGGAAGAAAAACUGAAUGCCAAGAGGGCCUCACUUUCCCCAAAGCUAUACAGCCAUCAGGGGCAAUGCUGGGAUUCCCCCAUGGAUCUCUUGACUCCUAAUACAGUGCUCUUUCUGAUAUGCCAUCUGGCUCCAUAAUGAACAUUGUGUUCCAGGAAAAUCAGUCUGCGCUGAACAGGAUGGAAUUGGGGCAGGACGUCCAGUGAGGAGGACAUUGAGGCAGUAGAGCAGUUGAUUGCCGAAUGACCACCUACCCUGACUUAAAAGAUCAACCUCAGGGAGGAUUGGAGCUUUCUAGAGUCUCUUGGGACAGCAGAAGCACAGGCCGGGUUGGACUGAAUCUUUAAGUGGACAUGAGGGACAAAGUACCUCCUGUUGGUAAACAUCUCACCACCAACCCACUGUGGUGGCUA
rnacentral:lncRNA from 1 species